UGCAAGUCGAACGAACUCUGGUAUUGAUUGGUGCUUGCAUCAUGAUUUACAUUUGAGUGAGUGGCGAACUGGUGAGUAACACGUGGGAAACCUGCCCAGAAGCGGGGGAUAACACCUGGAAACAGAUGCUAAUACCGCAUAACAACUUGGACCGCAUGGUCCGAGCUUGAAAGAUGGCUUCGGCUAUCACUUUUGGAUGGUCCCGCGGCGUAUUAGCUAGAUGGUGGGGUAACGGCUCACCAUGGCAAUGAUACGUAGCCGACCUGAGAGGGUAAUCGGCCACAUUGGGACUGAGACACGGCCCAAACUCCUACGGGAGGCAGCAGUAGGGAAUCUUCCACAAUGGACGAAAGUCUGAUGGAGCAACGCCGCGUGAGUGAAGAAGGGUUUCGGCUCGUAAAACUCUGUUGUUAAAGAAGAACAUAUCUGAGAGUAACUGUUCAGGUAUUGACGGUAUUUAACCAGAAAGCCACGGCUAACUACGUGCCAGCAGCCGCGGUAAUACGUAGGUGGCAAGCGUUGUCCGGAUUUAUUGGGCGUAAAGCGAGCGCAGGCGGUUUUUUAAGUCUGAUGUGAAAGCCUUCGGCUCAACCGAAGAAGUGCAUCGGAAACUGGGAAACUUGAGUGCAGAAGAGGACAGUGGAACUCCAUGUGUAGCGGUGAAAUGCGUAGAUAUAUGGAAGAACACCAGUGGCGAAGGCGGCUGUCUGGUCUGUAACUGACGCUGAGGCUCGAAAGUAUGGGUAGCAAACAGGAUUAGAUACCCUGGUAGUCCAUACCGUAAACGAUGAAUGCUAAGUGUUGGAGGGUUUCCGCCCUUCAGUGCUGCAGCUAACGCAUUAAGCAUUCCGCCUGGGGAGUACGGCCGCAAGGCUGAAACUCAAAGGAAUUGACGGGGGCCCGCACAAGCGGUGGAGCAUGUGGUUUAAUUCGAAGCUACGCGAAGAACCUUACCAGGUCUUGACAUACUAUGCAAAUCUAAGAGAUUAGACGUUCCCUUCGGGGACAUGGAUACAGGUGGUGCAUGGUUGUCGUCAGCUCGUGUCGUGAGAUGUUGGGUUAAGUCCCGCAACGAGCGCAACCCUUAUUAUCAGUUGCCAGCAUUAAGUUGGGCACUCUGGUGAGACUGCCGGUGACAAACCGGAGGAAGGUGGGGAUGACGUCAAAUCAUCAUGCCCCUUAUGACCUGGGCUACACACGUGCUACAAUGGAUGGUACAACGAGUUGCGAACUCGCGAGAGUAAGCUAAUCUCUUAAAGCCAUUCUCAGUUCGGAUUGUAGGCUGCAACUCGCCUACAUGAAGUCGGAAUCGCUAGUAAUCGCGGAUCAGCAUGCCGCGGUGAAUACGUUCCCGGGCCUUGUACACACCGCCCGUCACACCAUGAGAGUUUGUAACACCCAAAGUCGGUGGGGUAACCUUUUAGGA
rnacentral:rRNA from 2 species